UUUGGAGAGAAGACCGUAUACCAGUUUGAUGGAAAGCAUACGUUAUAUCACCGGAAUGGGGCCUUGGUGAAUCCUCAAUUACUAACCCAGGGCAGCGCAUCACUGAACCUGCAUAAUGUGACAUUAGAUGACGAAGGGAUCUACACAUGCACUGUUUUAAUAACCCCGCAAUAUGGAAGUGGGACAAUCCAGCUCCAACUCAGCCUACAGUGUUGCUGUCACCCCAAAACCCCGAAAUUACAGCAGGGGGAGAGAAAACCUUUUCCUGUGAUGUUCAUCAAUUUUACCCUCAAGAAAUUGACAUCUCCUGGCUGGUUAGGAAGUAUGGCAGUAAACACGAGAGGCCUUUAACGCAGGAUAUCUGCACGGGAGUCCCACUGGCUCAUGAUAAAAAGGGCAUGUUCACCGUGCUGAGUCGGGUGACCCGAGAGGUGUCUGAAGAGGAUGAUGGAUCCUUGUACAUCUGUGAAGUCCGACAUGAAUCUCUGGAAAAGCCGCUGAGAGGAAAUACAACCAUAUUUGUCACGACCCCAAAGCAGUAUCAUCGGGAUAUUGGGUUCAUUGUUGGAGUGGCUGCUGCUUGUAUUGUGAUAACUGGAGCGUGUAGUAUAUUUUUGACCAUAUUCUAUCGGGAACAACUUAUGAAAGUGCCACCUCAGGUUUCCUUGAUUAACAAACCAGAUGUGAUCCCGAUUAAUGAGAAGCUGAAGCUGAUGUGCAACAUAAAUGGGUUUAGACCAAAAGCGAUUAGUGUGAAAUGGUACCGGAGAACCCCCCAAAUGCCAUCAAGUGAAGCUCCUGAAGAAGCCUCUUUUCUUCUGGGUCCGAGAGACGAUAUUACAGACAAGGCAAGGCAGCCUUUGGAAACCAAUGGCAAGUUCUUCAGUGUUCCAUCCUGUCUGACCUACACACCCACCAUCCGGGAUGAUGGGGCAGUGUUUGAAUGCAGCGUUGAGCACAGCGCACUGAAAAGCGCCAUAUGGAUGAGCACCACGCUGAGUGUCACAGCUCGGCCGACAAGUCUCUACAUCACUAGCUGGCCUCAGGCUCCCAUGGUAGGAGAGAAGCUCAUUCUGAGCUGCGUAGUAGAGAAAUUUUACCCAAAGGAUAUCACUUUGACUUGGUUUAGAAAUGGACAACUGGUUAGCGAUGUGACACAGUUUGGACCUUUCCCUUGUGAAAUUGACUAUUUCAGUGUCUGGAGCCAGACUGAGUUUAUACUGACCAAUGAGGAGGAAGGGGCAGUUUAUAUCUGUCAGAUAAAACACAGCAGCUUUGGAAAUAUAGAAGAACUCUUCUAUGAAGUUAACUUGCAAGGGACACCCCCUGAAGUUCUCUGGAUCACCACAGACCCCUCCAUUCCUGUGGCGGGAGAGGAGCUGAGGCUGAACUGCAGGAUCAAUAACUUCUCCCCUAAUGUGAUCACUGUGAACUGGUUCCGAGAUGGGCAGCUCCUGCAAGCGGGAGUCUGCCAUUCAGUCUCCAUAAUGGGGGCCAAUGGUUUGCACUCCAUCUGGAGCGUUUUGAGAGUCACGCCCGGAAGGGAAGAGGAAGGAGCAGUGUUUACGUGUCGGGUGACACAUGCUGCUUUAAGGGACUCUGUAGAAAGAUCAUACACUCUGCAGCUGCCUGGUAUGUCCUGUACAGCAUGUUUGAUUGGAUAGUUCAUACAGUGCCUGAACAACGGAGAUUAGUUUAAAGCGAAGUGUGGUCAAGGGGCCAAAUGAGGCCUGUAGAGUGCCAGAGGGAGGCCUAAAGUGAUGGUGUGAGCCGAUGGCUGUGAGCUAGAAACUUAAUGAGACCUGAUCUCAGCUCUGACACAGACUCCCAGCAUGCUUAAUCUCUCCGCCUAAGAGCCCCCAUCUGUCCAAACACUCACUUACGUAAGGGUGGAGCGAGGAGUGCUGUGUUUGUAAAGCGCCUCAUUUCUAAUUAUUGUUAUGUUAUUAGAAUGCAGCCUGUGGCUGCUCUCGGCAUGUAAGCGUAGGACGGGAACAAAGCUGAUCAACUGCAGGUUUUUAGGGCUGGUGAAAUGUUAUGAAACACAGAGCCUCGGAGUAGGCUCUAAGGUCAUCCUAGCCCCUCCUGCAUCCCAACAGCUAGAGGUGAGCACUGCACCAGGGGAUGCUUGGACUUUGCUGGUGCGUUCCCCUCCCCCAUCCCUCCUCCUCUUUUGUAUUGGUCUCUGGCUACCAGAUUUAGUCCUUGGGCUAGUUGGUGUCUGUUACAUUUUCCAAGUCCUGCACUCAUAUAUGGGAUCCUCACUGUGGUCAGCGAAUGCAUCUUUCUGCAUCACACAUGGCAACAUUUCGCCCAGGACAAAUAAGGCACAUUUUGUUUAUGAACUUGCUCCAUAGGGAAAUGUCAUUUUUAUGGAGACAUUUAAAAAAAAAAAAAAGAAGCUCUGCGGACUAGUGGUAGUGAGAACCCAAAAUGUUUUACUCCAUUGUAAAAUGAUGAACUUCCCCCCACCAUCUGGCACGUGAUUUUUUUUUUCCAUAUCGGUGUAACAAAGCACACAUCAGCAGUUACUGCUGGCCAAGCUGAC